rnacentral:rRNA from 1 species
CAAUAGCGUAUAUUAAAGUUGUUGCAGUUAAAAAGCUCGUAGUUGGAUUUGUGGUUGGGUCUGUCGGUCCGGCACAUUGUGCGGGUACUUGAUGGACUCGUCCAUCCUUGGGUGGAAUCUGUGUGGCAUUAAGUUGUCGUGCAGGGGAUGCCCAUCGUUUACUGUGAAAAAUUAGAGUGUUCAAAGCAGGCUUAUGCCGUUGAAUAUAUUAGCAUGGAAUAAUGAGAUAGGACCUUGGUACUAUUUUGUUGGUUUGCGCACCGAGGUAAUGAUUAAUAGGGACAGUUGGGGGUAUUCGUAUUCCAUUGUCAGAGGUGAAAUUCUUGGAUUUUUGGAAGACGAACUACUGCGAAAGCAUUUACCAAGGAUGUUUUCAUUAAUCAAGAACGAAAGUUAGGGGAUCGAAGACGAUCAGAUACCAU